GUCUUUUUGAGAUUAAUUUAAAGUCUAGCCUGCCCACUGAAGUUUAAAUGGCCGCAGUAUUUUGACUGUGCAAAGGUAGCAUAAUCAUUAGUUUUUUAAUUGAAAGCUGGAAUGAAGGGUUAAAUGAAAAAAUAACUGUCUCUAUUUAAUUUUAUUAUAAUUUUAUUUUUAAGUUAAAAAGCUUAAAUUAAAUUUAAAGACGAGAAGACCCUAUAAAGUUUGAUUUUUAAAUAUAUUAAUUUUAUUAGUAAUUUAUUUAUUUUAUAUGUUUAAAAAUUUAAUUGGGGUGAUUUAAAAAUUUAAUAAACUUUUUAUAUUUUAAACAUUUAUUUAUGGCUAUAUGAUCCUAUAUUAUAGAUUAAAAGAUAAAAUUACUUUAGGGAUAACAGCGUAAUUUUUUUAGAGAGUUCAAAUCGAAAAAAGAGAUUGCGACCUCGAUGUUGGAUUAAAGAUAGUUUUAGGCGUAGAUGUUUAAAAACUAAGUCUGUUCGACUUUUACAUCUUUACA
rnacentral:rRNA from 1 species